rnacentral:rRNA from 1 species
CAGCAGCCGCGGGAAUACGUAGGUGGCAAGCGUUAUCCGGAAUUAUUGGGCGUAAAGCGCGCGUAGGCGGUUUCUUAAGUCUGAUGUGAAAGCCCACGGCUCAACCGUGGAGGGUCAUUGGAAACUGGGAAACUUGAGUGCAGAAGAGGAAAGUGGAAUUCCAUGUGUAGCGGUGAAAUGCGCAGAGAUAUGGAGGAACACCAGUGGCGAAGGCGACUUUCUGGUCUGUAACUGACGCUGAUGUGCGAAAGCGUGGGGAUCAAACAGGAUUAGAUACCCCAGUAGUCCCUGUCUCUUAUAC